rnacentral:rRNA from 1 species
AGGCUUAACACAUGCAAGUCGAGCGCCCCUCCUUCAAGCAAGCUUGAAGAUUUUUAUCCUUGGAAAGGAAGAUCAAGAAGAGCUUCUAAGAAGCUUUCUUGAUGGAGGGGAGCGGCAGACGGGUGAGUAACGCGUGGGAAUCUACCCUUGACUACGGAAUAACGCAGGGAAACUUGUGCUAAUACCGUAUGUGUCCUUCGGGAGAAAGAUUUAUCGGUCAAGGAUGAGCCCGCGUUGGAUUAGCUAGUUGGUGGGGUAAAGGCCUACCAAGGCGACGAUCCAUAGCUGGUCUGAGAGGAUGAUCAGCCACAUUGGGACUGAGACACGGCCCAA